rnacentral:lncRNA from 1 species
CACAGACUCACAAGUAAAGCAAAAGAGAGAAUAAGGAGACUCAUAGUCCUUUAAGUCUUCCCUGCUACACUUUGCUUUGCUUUUCUUUUCCUUAGAACUCCAAUCAGUUUCCUUCACAGACGCGAUUACAGAGAGAAAUGGGAAUUUGGGAUUUCAUCAAGUCAAGCACAUCUCCGGUGACGAACCCCUUCAGAACGUCUUACAAUUACGGAUCCGCCUCCUACACCCUUCUCGAUAAUAUCCAGAUGCUCAACCAGUUGCUUCCGGACAGUGUGGCCACAUCCAAGAUCGGUAUAUUUGGUAGAAUAUUGGCUAACGCUAUUGACUUCAUUGCCCACUUCAAGAGAGAUCCUGGUUUGCUUCCAUCUCACAUACCACAGUUUCGCUUUUCAGUUUUUGUUUAUACUUUACUGAAAGGGAAAGAUUGAAUAUUUUAUAUUUGCAUUCUAAUUUCAUCUUAAAAAUGUCAACAAUAAGAGUAGUUCAGUCAUUUAUAUGUUAGAUUUAUAUUUUGAUGAUUCAUCGAAAUGAAAUUUAUCUUUUAACAUGAAAGAUUUUGUUAAAGUGGGUAAUUAAAACUUAGAACAUUCUUGUUGGGUAUUCGGAGAAGAAGAUGAUGCGUUAUUAAAUUUCAAUAUUUUGAUUACUUUUUUUCUCCAUUUUUCUAAACCAUUUCUUCAUGUUAUUGUACUUUGUGUUUAUGGUGUUUAUUUGUCAAUAAUGACUUUGAAUUUAUUUUAUCAUUGAAUUAGAGCUUUGAUAUGGGUUGCUACCCAACUUGUUCUUAUUACCCU